UCCUCCCCUAUCUGACACUCCCUUAGCUCCUCCUCCUUCCUAGUCCCUAUCUUCAGGGCCCUACAGUGCCAACCUCUCCUACUCUUCUCCCUCUUGUGAAGGGCCAUUCCAGUUGUUACUAUGAUACUGUCAUGCACGCGAAGACCAGGGGAAGCCACCGUGCACCACGGCACUGCAGCUAGGGAGGGAAAACCAGGGAGUUGUCAGAUGAGUGUGGACACCUCAACCAACUGGCCUGCUUUUUACCUGCACGCAGUGCCUUACUCCACUGCCAGGGCAGCUGGGCAUUGGGUUUGGGUGCCACCAAGGCCUCUUGAGUUUUCCAGAAGGCACUACCAUCUCUUGGGGCUCCAGGUCCCCUUUUCACGGACUAAGUCAACCUCACUGGCAGUUGACCACUGGAAGAAGGAGGGGGUUCGGGGCCAAGUGACCUCUGAGGCAGGGAAGACACACCUGGUGCAUUUUACUGGCCCUCUGGCGCCGCCCCCAGCCCGACCCCUGAUCUGCGCACCUGGCGGGCUUGCAUCCCAAGAUCAUUAAGCCCUGGGCCACAUUAGAUAAUUUUAAGAAGGAAGCCUCUGGCCUGUUGACCACAGAGAAAGAGUUUUGGUCAAACUAGAGAUAACAUCUAGGCCUCAGCUGUGUUCCAGCUCCAGAACACCCCACCAAAGGAAUCCUUGCAAAACAAGAUGAAUCAAGGCCAUGGCUGACAUCAAGACCAGAUGCAAUGAUCAAUGACCCCCUGCCCUAGCCUGACCAGUCAGUAGAGACCACAACCCUGACCGUGACCCUAACUUAUCUCCCUUCAUUGUUGAUUAGUGACUUUUCCCCUAUGUAACCAUCCACUAGAAGCCACAGGGGAACCAGUGUUUUAAGUGUUAGCUACCUGUGACUCCGGGCAUAGUACCAUUUCCUUAAUAAAUCUCCACUUUGGCUGCA